AGAGCGUAGGGAGAAUGACUUGGCAUCAGGAGCCGAAGAAGGACGUGACAAGCUGCGAAAAGCUGCGGUUAGGAGCAAAUAUCCAUAGACCCGCAGAUAUCCGAAUGGGGAAACCCGGUACGGCAAUACCGUAUCACUGCAUGGUAAAUACAUAGCCAUGUGGAGGAAACCCUCUGAACUGAAACAUCUAAGUAGGAGGAGGAAGAGAAAGAAACAUCGAUUUCCUAAGUAGCGGCGAGCGAAAGGGAAAGAGCCUAAACCGGAGCGCGUGCGUUCCGGGGUCAUGGACUGCAUAAGUGAGUCAGAAGCUAGAAGAAAGGUUUUGGGAAAGCCUGCCAGAGAGAGUGAAAGCCUCGUAUUUGAAAGCGGAAGACAGCGGCAGUAUCCGGAGUACCACGAGACACGAGAAACCUUGUGGGAAGUCGGGGGGACCACCCCCCAAGGCUAAAUACUACUUAGUGACCGAUAGCGCAUAGUACUGUGAAGGAAAGGUGAAAAGGACCCCGGGAGGGGAGUGAAAGAGAACCUGAAACCUUGUGCCUACAAGCACAUAGAGCCCGUCAAAGGGUGAUAUGGUACUUUUUGUAGAACGGUCCGGCGAGCGAUUGUACGUUGCGAGCUUAAGGUCUUAAGGACUGGAGGCGUAGCGAGAGCGAGUCUAAACAGGGCGUUUAGUAGCGUGCAAUGGGCCCGAAACCGGGUGACCUACCCAUGAUCAGGCUGAAGUGAAAGUAAAAUUUCAUGGAGGGCCGAACCGACCUCCGUUGAAAAGGCGGCGGAUGAAUUGUGGGUAGCGGAGAAAUUCCAAUCGAACUCGGAGAUAGCUGGUUCUCCCCGAAAUAGCUUUAGGGCUAGCGUCGGAUAUGUGUAGUGGAGGUAGAGCACUGAAUGGGCUAGGGGGCAUAUCGCUUACCGAACCUUAUCAAACUCCGAAUGCCAUAUACAUUUAGUCCGGCAGUCAGACUACGAAUGAUAAGAUCCGUGGUCAAAAGGGAAACAGCCCAGAUCGUCAGCUAAGGUCCCAAAGUGUAAGUUAAGUGGAAAAGGAUGUGGGAUUUCUAAGACAACUAGGAUGUUGGCUUAGAAGCAGCCACUCAUUUAAAGAGUGCGUAAUAGCUCACUAGUCGAGUGAUUGUGCGCCGAAAAUGUAACGGGGCUAAAAUUCAUACCGAAGCUUAGGAAUGAUAGUAAUAUUGUUGGUAGAUGAGCGUUGUGUAAGUCUGCGAAGCUACACCGAAAGGAGUAGUGGAGAUAUCACAAGUGAGAAUGCCGGAAUGAGUAGCGAGAAUUAUGUGAGAAUCAUAAUGGUCGAAAAUCUAAGGUUUCUUGAGGAAGGUUCGUCCGCUCAAGGUAAGCCGGGAGCUAAGGCGAGGCCGAGAGGCGUAGUCGAUGCACAUACGGUAAAGAUUCCGUAGCCGCCGAAGUCGUUAAAUACAGGGACACAGGAACAUAGCCUAACCCCACCGUUGGUUGAGUGGGGCGAAAGGGAGCGAAAAUUAGUAGCGAAGUAGGUGAUUGUACACUGGCGAGAAAAGCUGUAUGAAUUGACAAGGUGCCCGUACCGCAAACCGACACAGGUAGAUGAGGAGAGAAUCCUAAGACCAGCGGGAGAAGUGUUGUUAAGGAACUCGGCAAAAUGACCCCGUAACUUCGGGAUAAGGGGAGCCUACGAGAGUAGGCCGCAGAGAAUAGUCUCAAGCGACUGUUUAGCAAAAACACAGGUCUAUGCUAAAUCGAAAGAUGAUGUAUAUGGGCUGACGCCUGCCCGGUGCUGGAAGGUUAAGGGGAAGUGUUAGAGCAAUCGAAGCACUGAACUUAAGCCCCAGUAAACGGCGGCCGUAACUAUAACGGUCCUAAGGUAGCGAAAUUCCUUGUCAGGUAAGUUCUGACCCGCACGAAUGGCGUAACGACUUGAGAGCUGUCUCAACAACAUACCCGGCGAAAUUGAAGUACUGGUAAAGAUGCCAGUUACCCGUGAUAAGACGGAAAGACCCCAUGGAGCUUUACUGUAACUUGAUAUUGAAUUUUUGUAUUACAUGUACAGGAUAGGUGGGAGACAGAGAACUAAUGCCGCCAGGUGUUAGGGAGUCGAUGUUGGGAUACCACUCUUGUAAUAUGAAGGUUCUAACCUGCACCCGUGAAUCCGGGUGGGGGACACUGUCAGGUGGACAGUUUGACUGGGGCGGUCGCCUCCUAAAAGGUAACGGAGGCGUUCAAAGGUUGGUUCAGCACGGACGGAAAUCGUGCAACGAGUGCAAACGCAUAAACCAGCCUAACUGCGAGACCGACAAGUCGAGCAGUAACGAAAGUUGGAGUUAGUGAUCCGGCGGUAUGAGAGUGGAAUUGCCGUCGCUCAACGGAUAAAAGCUACCCUGGGGAUAACAGGCUGAUCUCCCCCAAGAGUCCACAUCGACGGGGAGGUUUGGCACCUCGAUGUCGGCUCAUCGCAUCCUGGAGCUGUAGUCGGUUCCAAGGGUUGGGCUGUUCGCCCAUUAAAGCGGUACGCGAGCUGGGUUCAGAACGUCGCGAGACAGUUCGGUCCCUAUCUAUCACGGGCGUAGGAAAUUUGAGGAGAGCUGACCUUAGUACGAGAGGACCGGGUUGGACGUACCGCUGGUGCACCUGUUGUUCUGCCAAGGGCAUAGCAGGGUAGCUAAGUACGGACGGGAUAAACGCUGAAGGCAUCUAAGCGUGAAGCCCCCUUCGAGAUAAGAUUUCCCAUAGCGUAGGCUAGU
rnacentral:rRNA from 1 species